GAUCCCGCCGGACCUGACUGCUAUCGGAUUGAUACUAAGCCAUGCGAGUCAUUGUAGCAAUACAAGGCAGGCGGCUCAGUAACGCGUAGUCAAUCUACCCUAUGGACGGGAAUAACCUCGGGAAACUGAGAAUAAUGCCCGAUAGAACAUUAUGCCUGGAAUGGUUUAUGUUUCAAAUGAUUUAUCGCCAUAGGAUGGGACUGCGGCCUAUCAGUUUGUUGGUGAGGUAAUGGCCCACCAAGACUAUUACAGGUACGGGCUCUGAGAGGAGUAGCCCGGAGAUGGGUACUGAGACACGGACCCAGGCCCUAUGGGGCGCAGCAGGCGAGAAAACUUUGCAAUGUGCGAAAGCACGACAAGGUUAAUCCGAGUGGUUUCUGCUAAAGAAACCUUUUGUCAGUCCUAGAAACACUAACGAAUAAGGGGUGGGCAAGUUCUGGUGUCAGCCGCCGCGGUAAAACCAGCACCUCAAGUGGUCAGGAUGAUUAUUGGGCCUAAAGCAUCCGUAGCUCGUUUUGUAAGUUUUCGGUUAAAUCCAUGCGCUUAACGUAUGGGCUGCCGGGAAUACUGCAUAACUAGGAAGUGGGAGAGGUAGACGGUACUCGGUAGGAAGGGGUAAAAUCCUUUGAUCUAUUGAUGACCACCUGUGGCGAGGGCGGUCUACCAGAACACGUUCGACGGUGAGGGAUGAAAGCUGGGGGAGCAAACCGGAUUAGAUACCCGGGUAGUCCCAGCUGUAAACUAUGCAAACUCAGUGAUGCAUUGGCUUAUGGCCAAUGCAGUGCUGCAGGGAAGCCGUUAAGUUUGCCGCCUGGGAAGUACGUACGCAAGUAUGAAACUUAAAGGAAUUGGCGGGGGAGCACCACAAGGGGUGAAGCCUGC
rnacentral:rRNA from 1 species